UACAGAGACUGCAAGCGUUAUUCGGAUUCACUGGGCGUAAAGGGUGCGCAGGUGGCCAAGUGUGUUAGGCGUGAAAGCCCGGGGCUUAACCCCGGAAUUGCACCUAAAACUACUUGGCUAGAGCAUUGGAGAGGGGAGCAGAAUUCAUGGUGUAGCAGUGAAAUGCGUAGAUAUCAUGAGGAAUACCAGAGGCGAAGGCGGCUCCCUGGACAAUAGCUGACACUCAGGCACGAAAGCGUGGGGAGCAAAAGGG
rnacentral:rRNA from 1 species